rnacentral:rRNA from 1 species
UGAGGAAUAUUGCACAAUGGGGGAAACCCUGAUGCAGCCAUGCCGCGUGGAGGAUGACACCCCUCUGGGGCGUAAACUCCUUUUGUGAGGGAAGAACCGCGCGGUCGCCGCGCCUGACGGUACCUCACGAAUAAGCACCGGCUAACUCCGUGCCAGCAGCCGCGGUAAUACGGAGGGUGCAAGCGUUGUCCGGAUUUAUUGGGUGUAAAGGGUGCGUAGGCGGGACGAUAAGUCCGAGGUGAAAGCCCGCAGCUUAACUGCGGAACUGCCUUGGAUACUGUCGACCUUGAGUCCCGGAGGGGUGGCUGGAAUUCCUGGUGUAGCGGUGAAAUGCGUAGAUAUCAGGAGGAACACCGGAGGUGUAGACGGGUCACUGGACGGGUACUGACGCUGAGGCACGAAAGCGUGGGGAGCAAACAGG